GACGGAGGAUGCAAGCGUUAUCCGGAAUGAUUGGGCGUAAAGCGUCCGCAGGUGGCAGUUCAAGUCUGCUGUCAAAGACCGGGGCUUAACUUCGGAAAGGCAGUGGAAACUGAACAGCUAGAGUAUGGUAGGGGCAGAGGGAAUUCCUGGUGUAGCGGUGAAAUGCGUAGAGAUCAGGAAGAACAUCGGUGGCGAAGGCGCUCUGCUGGACCAUAACUGGCACUCGGGGACGAAAGCUAGGGGAGCGAAUGGG
rnacentral:rRNA from 1 species